UUUAGGAAAAACGUAGACAUUUUUCUGCCGUUAAGGAACUUUUAGUCAGGAAGGAGAAUUAAUGCAAUCUUUUUACAGAAUUCUAAAUUCCUCAUUGAAGAAUCAAGGGCUUUCUGAAGCUUUGUUGCACUUUGUACUUUAUUUGCCCCUCCUGACACUGGAUUGGUGAUGCCUAUGUGCCAUAGUCCUACGAACAACAGCAACAACAACCACAGCAAUAAUCUAUUGUGACCAUCCAGGACACCGAAGCUUGCAGAGAAAUCAUUGCAGCAUCAAGCGCUGAACUGCUCUGUUUCAAGGACCUCCUGAAGACAGUUUAACCUCAUCAGUGAAGCUUACAACACUAUUUUUAAUGAUGUCUACUCCAGCAAUGCAGAUUGAAUAUUUGACAUGAACAAACAAGAAGCACAGUUAAUAAGCUGAGGGGAAAGAAAGAACAUUAAGGGUCAGAACAGAAGAUCUAUUCUGACCAAGCUACAAAACAGAAGCAGCCAAGCUUCCGAUCUGAGUGAGAAUUUAUUAUGGAAGAAUUAAUAUGUAGGUUGUUUCAAAAGCAAGGCCUCCUAUUUAUUUUCAUGGAAACUGGAAAAGAUGCAGAGGGCACAAUAACACUGUUUGAUAGACCAAAUUCUCAGCUACAAAACACUACUUUCC
ensembl:lncRNA